GGAGAGGUGCCGGAGUGGUAACGGAGCAGAUUGCUAAUCUGUCAGCGCUUUUGUGCUGCCUGGGUUCGAGUCCCAGUCUCUCCG
rnacentral:tRNA from 1 species